CGGAGAGCAACUCAGUCCUGCUUCAGAACAGAUUAAUAUGUCCACACAAUCCCACAUCUUGGCUGGAAUAUUAGUGAUGGGGAGACAGGGGACAUGGGAGUUUUCUUGUCGUCCGUGUGGUCGCCUGAACUUCAGCCCAUGGAGCAGAAUCACAACGAGGGUUUUAUAGGAAGUCCUGGCUGCAGUGCAUUAAAGGAAUGACCAGGAGCCCAAACUGGAGCAGACAACAGGAGCAUGUGACUAAUAAACAACAUGCCAGUAC